rnacentral:ncRNA from 1 species
UACUGAUAAAGGCAAACUGCGAGUAAUCGUAGGACGUCCCGAUUGUAAGAUCGGGACUCCGACCAGAGCGUCGGAGCAAAGCGACAGUGCUUGACAUCUUUGAUGUCAAGCAGGCUGCGUUGUCAAA